AGGGCACCCAGUGGCCGCUGCCAGGCUGAGCUAUGGAGCCAGAGCAGCUGGAAACGGCCUCCCGUGGGCCGAGUUAGGCGAGAGAGCCUGGUGGUGAAACCGACCUGGGGCCCAGCCCUAUGGAGCUCACAGUCUGGUGGGGAAGUCUAUGAAACAAGUGUACAGUCACCAAUUGUGAUAAGCUCAAAAGAGAGAGGUGUGAACCAUAGGCGGGAACAGAUGUGCCAUCGAAAUUUUUCCACCUGAGUUGCCGUUUUCCAGUAUGAAUAUUUUUCUGUGCCACAAAUCCAAAAGACAUUUUGGUGACAAACAGCCUAUAAGAGGACACUCAGCACUUUGGGAGGCUGAGGCGGCAGAUCACUUGAGGUCAGGAGUUCGAGAUCAGCCUGGCCAAUAUGGAAAAAUCCCGUUUCUAACUAAAAAUACAAAAAUUAGCCAGGCGUAGUCGCGGUUGCCUGUAGUCCCAGCUACUUGGGAGGCUGAGGCAGGAGAAUCACUUGAACCUGGGAAGUGGAGGUUGCAGUGAGCCAAGAUUAUGCCACUGCACUCCAGCCUGGGCAAGAGAGUGAAACUCUGUCUGGGAAAAAAAAAAAGAAGACACUCAGACUUACAAUAACUGACUUUUGCUUUAUUGUGUAAUUUACACAGGACAACCCCAAAUUCCACACUUCGUUUUUCUCUUCUGCCUUCAUUAUUCUUUCAAUAUCUACGUCAACAGAAAUCGUUUCUCCCAAUAACAUAUGUGGUUUGAUCCUCAGCCAGGACGCACAGGCCCUACAAGAUCCCAGCCCUCCAACACGGACACCUGGACCCUCCCAUUUGACUGCAGCCUUGUCUGUUUGUACCGGGGCUCUGCCCUGGUCCUGUCACCCCUGAGACGUCCGUAAGGUAGGAAUGCCAAACAGGAUCUGUGUGAUGUGUCAACUCUGAGUAAAUACAAGAGGCUGCUAGGAGCCCCCAGCUGAGGAUUGAGAGGCAGGCUGUGUCUGGUUCCAUUUCAAAGAAUGCUGUGAUGCAUUAGCAGCGUCUGCUAUGGCAACACCCAUUAGAAGCACCUGGAAGGGGGGUUUUGGGAAACGGGCUCAGAAAGGAGCAAGGUGUGUCCGUUCCAUUCUUGCCUUAGGUGGCUGUUCCGUUACCCAGGCUAUGCUGUCUCAGUGGCCAGGUGGCUGAGGAGGAAGUCUGAAGGCCGCAUAGUUGCAAGUGGCUUCCCUAGGGCCUGCAGGGGACAGCAUAGGCCCAAAGCUAGAGGAAGCUUGGAAGGGCGCCCACGCUGGGUCCUGCGGGGCUCUGCAUACUGCAGGCCACCAUGGCGCUAGCUCCUUACCCUCUGGAGUCUGUCUCAUCCAGGAGAAGACAGCUGGCUGGCCUCAGAGCGUUACAUGCAACUCGGGUGAAAACAUUUUUACAUGACACAGACACACAAUGGGCUUUACCUCUGGAUAAACUUAGAAACUUUCCAUCCAAACGAAAAGGGUGUAUCUUCUGUAUGUUGCCAAGAAGCCUAAACUGAGUACAAGGACGAUCUUACUUUAAUCAAGUUCCAGAAUGAGGGUACACAGCUUCGAAAAGCAGUCUGUAGCAGAAGAUGCAAGGGUGUGUGUAGCCAUGUUUCCAGAAUAUACCAAAGGAAACACACACAACCCCAGUGUGGCCUUUUGCGAACCCUCGAUGCUGCUCCAUACUGGGGGCAGGCGGCUACUUCGUCCAGCUGACUUUGGGAAUGUCGUAAUGCUCCGUGAGUGUGUCCAGGUGUCUGUUGAAGUCCUGGGGAGGUGGAGUAGAAGGCCGGUGUCAGCGCAGACCCAAGUGGGGUACUGGGGAGAAGUGGCACUGCCCAGCCCCACCUCUCCCACAUCCUAUCUCUCCUGAGCCCCCUCCUCUCAAACUCACCCUGCCAGGUCUUACAGACUCCUGAACCCUGGGCUCCCCUUUGAAUAACCCUGGGGAAGUGUCACUUCUAUUAGGUAAACUUCCCUUCUCGUCAACAUGCCAACAGCUCCCUCUGCCAGCUGAUAGCCUCUGGGCCCAGCUGGGACCCUGAAUGGCUCAGUCUCCCCCACUGGACACGGCGACUCACCUCCACUCUCUGCUUGUGGGUUUUGGAUGCCUUCUUUAGGAUCCUUUCCAUUUGCUGGAGAGAGAAGAGACAUGGAGGUGAGUUUACAGGCUCAACACAGCCCAGGCUGGCAUGGGGUGGAAGAUGGAGCCUGGCCAGACUGGCUCUCACAUUUAGAACAGCUGGAGGUUUCAGGCUCUGUGCCUUGUCCCCCUCCCUCAACUCCACCCAGGCUGGUCCAACAGGGAACCCAGGUCACUUGCCAGCUUCGUGAGUGGCAGGAAAUGAACCAGCAAUGCCUGAGCGCGUACCCAUGAGCAGACUCUGCUGGGAGCUGUCGGCAUGCUUCCUGCAUCCUGAGGAGGCUGUUAGCACUCCCAGUUUGGAGGAAAACAAAGUCCCAGAGCGGGUUUCAGGAAUGAUGAGAAAGAGAGAGGUAAAGGGUCUGACAUAGAGCAGGUGCUCAAGUGACACUUCCCAUCCUGAUGUUAGGGCUACAAGACCAGGAUCACCAUCCCCAGGGUUAUUCUGAAAUAUGCCUCCUGCACCAUGACCUGCUCUGAUCCUCACUUCAAACACUCAAUGACACCUGGAAAGUCCCCAUGCCACACU